ACCUUUACUGUAGCUUUGCACUGGACUUUGAGCCUGCUUGUGUAGGAUAGGUGGGAGGCUUUGAAGCGUGGACGCCAGUUCGCGUGGAGCCAUCCUUGAAAUACCACCCUGGCAUGCUUGAGGUUCUAACUCUGGUCCGUAAUCCGGAUCGAGGACAGUGUAUGGGCAGUUUGACUGGGGCGGUCUCCUCCUAAAGAGUAACGGAGGAGUACGAAGGUGCGCUCAGACCGGUCGGAAAUCGGUCGCAGAGUAUAAAGGCAAAAGCGCGCUUGACUGCGAGACAGACACGUCGAGCAGGUACGAAAGUAGGUCUUAGUGAUCCGGUGGUUCUGUAUGGAAGGGCCAUCGCUCAACGGAUAAAAG
rnacentral:rRNA from 1 species